rnacentral:rRNA from 1 species
CUCUAAUUCUAAUGUAAAUUUAAAUGUUAAUCUAAAGAGGUACAGCUCUUUAGACCAAGGAUACAACCUUUAUUAGAGAGUAAGCAUGCCAAUAACCAUAGUUGGCCUAAAAGCAGCCACCAAUUAAGAAAGCGUUCAAGCUCAACCAAUUWACUCCCACCUUAAUAUUACAAACUAAAAUAACUCCUAAACUUUCACUGGACUAAUCUAUAUUAAUAUAGAAGAAAUACUGUUAAUAUGAGUAACAAGAUUAUUAUCUCCCCGCGCAAGUUUAUGUCAGACUUAAUAAUAACUGAUAGUUAACAGCCAACUAAACAUAACCUAAGAUAAAACAUUUAAUAUAUUCCACUGUUAACCCGACACAGGAGCGCAACAUACUAAGGGAAAGAUUAAAAGAAGUAAAAGGAACUCGGCAAACACAAACCCCGCCUGUUUACCAAAAACAUCACCUCUAGCAUUACUAGUAUUAGAGGCACUGCCUGCCCAGUGACAAUAGUUAAACGGCCGCGGUAUCCUGACCGUGCAAAGGUAGCAUAAUCAUUUGUUCUUUAAAUAAGGACUUGUAUGAAUGGCCACACGAGGGUUUAACUGUCUCUUACUUCUAAUCAGUGAAAUUGACCUUUCCGUGAAGAGGCGGAAAUAAACAAAUAAGACGAGAAGACCCUAUGGAGCUUUAAUUUUCUUAAUCCAACAGAAUCAACUCAACCCACAAGGAUCAACAAUAAUUCUAACUGGAUUAAAAAUUUUGGUUGGGGUGACCUCGGAGAAUAAAAUAACCUCCGAGAAACUUAUACUAAGACUAACAAGUCUAAGUAAAAUAAAUAACUGAUCCAGUCUAACUGAUCAACGGAACAAGUUACCCUAGGGAUAACAGCGCAAUCCUAUUCAAGAGUCCCUAUCGACAAUAGGGUUUACGACCUCGAUGUUGGAUCAGGACAUCCUAAUGGUGCAGCAGCUAUUAAUGGUUCGUUUGUUCAACGAUUAAA